GCGAGAGUAGCUCAGUUGGUAGAGCGUCAGCCUUCCAAGCUGAAUGUCGCCAGUUCGAACCUGGUCUCUCGCUCAA
rnacentral:tRNA from 10 species